rnacentral:rRNA from 1 species
GCUCCAGACUCCUACGGGAGGCAGCAGUGGGGAAUAUUGCACAAUGGGGGAAACCCUGAUGCAGCGACGCCGCGUGAGUGAAGAAGUAUUUCGGUCUGUAAAGCUCUAUCAGCAGGGAAGAAGUUGACGGUACCUGAGUAAGAAGCCCCGGCUAACUACGUGCCAGCAGCCGCGGUAAUACGUAGGGGGCAAGCGUUAUCCGGAUUUACUGGGUGUAAAGGGAGCGUAGACGGCAGUGCAAGUCUGAAGUGAAAGCCCCGGGCUUAACCCGGGAAUUGCUUUGGAAACUGUACGGCUGGAGUGCUGGAGAGGUAAGCGGAAUUCCUAGUGUAGCGGUGAAAUGCGUAGAUAUUAGGAGGAACACCAGUGGCGAAGGCGGCUUACUGGACAGUAACUGACGUUGAGGCUCGAAAGCGUGGGGAGCAAGCAGGAUUAGAUACCCGCGUA